UACGUAGGGUGCAAGCGUUGUCCGGAAUUAUUGGGCGUAAAGAGCUCGUAGGCGGUCUGUCGCGUCUGCUGUGAAAACUCGGGGCUUAACCCCGGGCCUGCAGUGGGUACGGGCAGACUAGAGUGCGGUAGGGGAGACUGGAAUUCCUGGUGUAGCAGUGAAAUGCGUAGAUAUCAGGAGGAACACCGAUGGCGAAGGCAGGUCUCUGGGCUGACACUGACGCUCAUGCACGAAAGCGUGGGGAGCAAACAGG
rnacentral:rRNA from 1 species